rnacentral:rRNA from 1 species
AAUGAACGUUGGCGGCGUGGAUUAGGCAUGCAAGUCGAACGGGCCGCAAGGCCAGUGGCGGAAGGGUGAGUAAGGCGACGGUAACCAACCCCGGAAAUGGGUAUAGCCGCGGGAAACUGCGGGUAAUCCCCAGCGACGUGUCGAGUCGGCAUCGGCUUGACACCAAAGCUCCGGCGUUCCGGGACGGGCCGUCGUGGUAUUAGCUAGUUGGCGGGGUAACGGCCCACCAAGGCUGCGAUGCCUACCGGGCGUGCGAGCGUGGCCCGGCACACUGGGACUGAGACACUGCCCAGACUCCUACGGGAGGCUGCAGUCGAGAAUCAUCGGCAAUGGGCGCAAGCCUGACCGAGCGACGCCGCGUGGAGGACGAAGGCCUUCGGGUUGUAAACUCCUGUCGAGGGGGAGGAAGGCGCAAGCUUGACCGAUCCCUGGAGGAAGCACGGGCUAAGUUCGUGCCAGCCGCCGCCGUAACAC